rnacentral:rRNA from 1 species
UACGUAGGGGCCGAGCGUUGUCCGGAGUUAUUGGGCGUAAAGCGCGCGCAGGCGGCCUCGCGCGCCCGACGUGAAAGCCCCCGGCUUAACCGGGGAGGGUCGUUGGGGACGGCGGGGCUUGAGGGCGGGAGAGGUCGGUGGAAUUCCCGGUGUAGUGGUGAAAUGCGUAGAGAUCGGGAGGAACACCUGUGGCGAAGGCGGCCAUCUGGACGGUAACUGACGCUGAGACGCGAAAGCGUGGGUAGCAAACAGG